CCUACGGGGGGUGCAGUAGGGAAUAUUGGACAAUGGGCGCAAGCCUGAUCCAGCCAUCCCGCGUGAAGGAUUAAGGCCCUCUGGGUUGUAAACUUCUUUUCUUUGGGAAUAAAAACUCCGAUUCAUCGGAGCUUGAAGGUACCAGAGGAAUAAGCACCGGCUAACUCCGUGCCAGCAGCCGCGGUAAUACGGAGGGUGCAAGCGUUAUCCGGGUUCAAUGGGUGCAAAGGGUGCGUUGUUAGUCAGUUGUGAAAGCCCGGAGCUCAACUCCGGAACUGCCAUUGAUACUGCUUAGCUUGAAUCAGGUCGAGGUGGAUGGAAUAUUACAUGUAGCGGUGAAAUGCUUAGAUAUGUAAUAGAACACCGAUUGCGAAGGCAGUUCACUAGGCCUGUAUUGACACUGAGGCACGAAAGCGUGGGGAUCAAACAGGAUUAGAUACCCUGGUAGUC
rnacentral:rRNA from 1 species